rfam:Anaerobacillus alkalilacustris strain DSM 18345 Ga0137925_106, whole genome shotgun sequence.
GGUGUACCAGUUGUUCCGCCAGGAGCAUAGCUGGGUAGCUACGUAUGGAAGGGAUAAGUGCUGAAAGCAUCUAAGCAUGAAGCCCCCCUCAAGAUGAGAUUUCCCUUGGAGUUAAUCCAGUAAGACCCCUUAGAGAUGAUGAGGUUGAUAGGUCUCGGGUGGAAGCACGGUGACGUGUGGAGCUGAGAGAUACUAAUCGGUCGAGGACUUAUCCUA